GCCGAGGUAGCUCAGUGGUAGAGCGAAGGAUUGAAAAUCCUUGCGUCGUGAGUUCAAUCCUCACCCUCGGCACCA
rnacentral:tRNA from 1 species